rnacentral:ncRNA from 21 species
AGACUGCCACAACGGCUUCCUGACGUGGUGGAAAAAUCUUACUGGAGCA